ACCCGACUGCUAUCAGAGUAGGACUAAGCCAUGCGAGUCAACGCCGCAAGGCGUGGCAUACGGCUCAGUAACACGUAGUCAACAUGCCCCAAAGGACGCGGAUAACCUCGGGAAACUGAGGAUAAACCGCGAUAGGCCAGGGUUUCUGGAAUGAGCCACGGCCAAAAUCUAUAUGGCCUUUGGAUUGGACUGCGGCCGAUCAGGCUGUUGGUGAGGUAAUGGCCCACCAAACCUGUUACCGGUACGGGCUUUGAGAGAAGGAGCCCGGAGAUGGGCACUGAGACAAGGGCCCAGGCCCUAUGGGGCGCAGCAGGCGCGAAACCUCUGCAAUAGGCGAAAGCCUGACAGGGUUACUCUGAGUGAUGCCCGCUAAGGGUAUCUUUUGGCAAUUUUUAAACUUUUGCAAGAUUAGGGGUGGGGAGGUCUUUUAUCAGCAGCCACGUACAACCCAGCACCCAGAGUUGUUGGGAUGAUUAUUGGGCAUAAAGCAUCCGUAGCGAGUUCAGCAAGUCCUCUGUUAAAUUCACGUGUUAACGGAUGGGUUGUGGGGGAUAUUGCAGAGGUAGGAGGCGGGAGAGGCUAACGGUACUCGGUGGGUAGGAAGUAAAAUCCAUUGAUCUACGGAAGACCACCAGUGGCGAAGGCGGUUUCCCAGAACGCGCUCGACGGUGAGGGACGAAACCUGGGGGAGCAAAGUGGAUUAGAUACCCAGGUAGUCCCAGUCCUAAAGGCUGUAGACUAGGGAUUGGGUUGGCUUGGCGCUCCCCCAGUGCCGCAGGGAGCCCGUUAAGCUCCCGCCUGGGUAGUACGGUCGCAAGACGAAAUUUAAAGGAAUUGGCGGGGGAGCACCACAAGGGUGAAGCCUGCGGUUCAAUUGGAUUCAACGCCGGG
rnacentral:rRNA from 1 species